rnacentral:rRNA from 1 species
GUAGCGGCGAGCGAACGGGGAGGAGCCCAGAGCCUGAAUCAGCAUGUGUGUUAGUGGAAGCGUCUGGAAAGGCGCGCGAUACAGGGUGACAGCCCCGUACACAAAAGCGCAUGUGCUGUGAGCUCGAUGAGUAGGGCGGGACACGUGGUAUCCUGUCUGAAUAUGGGGGGACCAUCCUCCAAGGCUAAAUACUCCUGACUGACCGAUAGUGAACCAGUACCGUGAGGGAAAGGCGAAAAGAACCCCGGCGAGGGGAGUGAAAAAGAACCUGAAACCGUGUACGUACAAGCAGUGGGAGCCCCACCACCAAAGCAUUCUCUGGUGUUGAAGGCCCUGCAAAGCAGCAUCGCGGUGGCGGAGCGUCGUUUGCGACGCCCAACACACAAAACAAGCGGUGAGUGCUUUGGGGUGGGGUGACUGCGUACCUUUUGUAUAAUGGGUCAGCGACUUAUAUUCUGUAGCAAGGUUAACCGAAUAGGGGAGCCGGAGGGAAACCGAGUCUUAAUUGGGCGUUAAGUUGCAGGGUAUAGACCCGAAACCCGGUGAUCUAGCCAUGGGCAGGUUGAAGGUUGGGUAACACUAACUGGAGGACCGAACCGACUAAUGUUGAAAAAUUAGCGGAUGACCUGUGGCUGGGGGUGAAAGGCCAAUCAAACCGGGAGAUAGCUGGUUCUCCCCGAAAGCUAUUUAGGUAGCGCCUCGUGAAUUCAUCUCCGGGGGUAGAGCACUGUUUCGGCUAGGGGGCCAUCCCGGCUUACCAACCCGAUGCAAACUGCGAAUACCGGAGAAUGUUAUCACGGGAGACACAGACAGCCAGGAUGUUGGCUUAGAAGCAGCCAUCAUUUAAAGAAAGCGUAAUAGCUCACUGGUCGAGUCGGCCUGCGCGGAAGAUGUAACGGGGCUAAACCAUGCACCGAAGCUGCGGCAGCGAGAGCGAAGCGACGUCAAAGCGUAUACAAAGUCGAGUCGGUUUAAGGAUACGUUCGUUGGGUAGGGGAGCGUUCUGUAAGCCUGYGAAGGUGKSYYGUGAGGSWUGCUGGAGGUAUCAGAAGUGCGAAUGCUGACAUAAGUAACGAUAAAGCGGGUGAAAAGCCCGCUCGCCGGAAGACCAAGGGUUCCUGUCCAACGUUAAUCGGGGCAGGGUGAGUCGACCCCUAAGGCGAGGCCGAAAGGCGUAGUCGAUGGGAAACGGGUUAAUAUUCCCGUACUUGGUGUUACUGCGAAGGGGGGACGGAGAAGGCUAUGUUGGCCGGGCGACGGUUGUCCCGGUUUAAGCGUGUAGGCUGGUUUUCCAGGCAAAUCCGGAAAAUCAAGGCUGAGGCGUGAUGACGAGGCACUACGGUGCUGAAGCAACAAAUGCCCUGCUUCCAGGAAAAGCCUCUAAGCAUCAGGUAACAUCAAAUCGUACCCCAAACCGACACAGGUGGUCAGGUAGAGAAUACCAAGGCGCUUGAGAGAACUCGGGUGAAGGAACUAGGCAAAAUGGUGCCGUAACUUCGGGAGAAGGCACGCUGACACGUAGGUGAAGUGAUUUACUCAUGGAGCUGAAGUCAGUCGAAGAUACCAGCUGGCUGCAACUGUUUAUUAAAAACACAGCACUGUGCAAACACGAAAGUGGACGUAUACGGUGUGACGCCUGCCCGGUGCCGGAAGGUUAAUUGAUGGGGUCAGCGCAAGCGAAGCUCCUGAUCGAAGCCCCGGUAAACGGCGGCCGUAACUAUAACGGUCCUAAGGUAGCGAAAUUCCUUGUCGGGUAAGUUCCGACCUGCACGAAUGGCGUAAUGAUGGCCAGGCUGUCUCCACCCGAGACUCAGUGA